UAGCUAUUUUAUAUUCUAUGAAUUGUUAUAUGUUUUAUAAAAUUUGCAAGCAGCUAAUUAAGUAUGUUUGUGAAAUACAAUACAACGAAAACUUCGAGGAAUUUGUUUGCUUGGCUUCAAGUUCCAAUUCGUGUGAUGACUUUGAUCACUUUCGUUGUAUUUUAUUUGUGUUUUAUUAUCUAUUUAAAAUUUAAAGGGCCCACAGUAAUUUGUAACAUAUACUGUUGUGGUGACCCUGCCAUGAAUGCAUGCAUGAUAAUGGCGAAGUUAAAUAAAUAAAGUACAGCCGGUUUUCCACUUCAACUAUAUCGUAACGUACCGUAGCAUUUUCUUUUGUGUCGAAGUCAUUAGUUCCACUCUAGUGGUCAAGAAACAAAGAAACACGCUACGUUUCGGUACGAUACGAUUGAAGUGGAAAACUGGCUUAAGGCCCCGUUUACAUGAAACCGGAACGAAGUGAAAUCGGGACCAUUUCGUUUUGGUCAUAGUAUUAUUUAUAAUAGAUGUAAACAUGAGACCAGGACGAAAAUAACUCUGACCGGUCUCAAGUCAUUCCGCCUGCUGGACCUAGCCGACUGACUUAGGCCCCAGUUACACGAUACCGGAUUCGCAUCGGAGCGACAUCAAAUUUUACUGCUUCGAGUUGAAUUUGGGCACUUAAAAUUAUGAUAAUAUAACAUAAUUAAACAAAAGCUUCAAAUAUAAAAAGUUGUAAGAGCAGGCAUGACUGGAAAACACCUUAAAUCGAUGUCGCUCCGAUACGAAUCCGGUAUGGUGUAUAACUGGGGCCUUAGACCGGGAUGAAUGUGAACGCAAGUACAUUUCAGACCGGUCUCGGCUGUAACCUUGACAUUGGAACAACACAUAGAUAACAAAAGCCAUCUGAAAAAGAAAUUAAUUGUCUGGCAAGGGGAAUAAAUUGAAAAUUUCGUGAUUUUCGUACCGGUCUCAAGUGAACAUGUUGACAAUUUCAAUUUUCAUUCUGGUUCGACUUCGUCGCGAUCUCAUGUAAACGGGGCCUAAGUUAGUAACUUCUAGUAGCUAGUAUAGUAAUAUUUAGUUAUCGUGACUGUCAGAAAGCUAAAACUUUGUCAUAGAAAAUUUAUUGUAGGUAAACACGUGCGAUUGACGAAUAAACUAUAGAGUAUAGAAAACCUACUCAUCUGUAACCGGCUUUAUAGCAUAGCCCGCGUGCAGGCCCAUCGAGAGAAGAAUAUACCCUCGAUGGGCCAGCACGCGGGCUAGCUUUAGCAUCGCAAAUGACAAAUUGCAUGUCAGGUUAAUUUUUUAUCUAGGCAAAUAAAAGUAAAUUCCCCAAAAAAACUUAUUAAAAAAAAGCCAUGACCAGCCGACAAUUUAAAAAAAUAAAGUAAAAAACAAAUUCCGAAAAUACAGGACAUCUUGAGAAUUCAAUAUAUAAUUCAAAAGGGCCAUUCCAUUUAAUGAACACACCCCCCUGUGGACGAAGUCAAUAAAAUUUGAACCCCUAAGAAAAAAAGAUCAAAGUGCCGACACAAACACCCCUUCAGAAAUUAAGAAAUUUUUGCCUUACCCCUCGGAAAAAACGCAAAGAUCAAAGGAUGCCGAUGCACACAGCCCCUCAGAAACGGCUUUUUCAACCCCCCUCUGAAAUUUUCGUCCACAGGGGGGGGGGGUGUAUAUUAAAUGGAAUGGCCCAAAACAAAGACGCAGUUUGAGACUGUAAAUUUUCGACUUUAUUUCAAAGUCAUCUUCAGACAGAAAGAAAUACAAUACUUUACAACACAUAUAUAUAUACAACGCAGAGAGAGAGCAUCUGUCAUGUGGGCGGAAAGAAGGAUUAUCCAAGCGAAGCGAAACAUGAUAAAGAAAAUAGUAAUAACUGAAAAUGGAAUAUUUAGCUAUAUUUACAACAAUGUUUAAUAUAUUAAAAUGAUUAAGGUAGAAAGGGAAAGACCCGACAUGUAGAAGAAGAUUGAGUUGAAGUGUUAUGUGAACAGUUGUAGUAGUUGUAGUUGUGAACAGUUGUAGUUAUUAAAAUUAGUAAAACUGCAAAAUUUGGUUAUGAAAUGUGGUAAAAUACGGAAAAUAUAGCCUUGCGAAGUUUGCAUAUUUUGUAUAUGUUUGUAUUACGUGCGGAAAUUGUUUCAAUUUUUGAGCUGAAAAUGCUAACAAUUUCCGCAUAAUACAAACGUACAAUAUUUGCAAACUUUGCAAGACUAUAUUUUCCAAGCUUUACAACAUUUCGCAACCAAAUUUUGCAAUUUUACCAAUUUCAUUAUGUUCUUUUUAGCUGUGGUGUUUGAUUUUCUUCUCUUUACUUAGCGGAUUAAAAUUUAGUCUAACAUGCAAGUUGUCCAUUAAGUGCUUUAAAGAAAAUGUACAUCCAAAAUGAUCGGUAAUCAUAUACAAUUGAGAAAUACAGGAAUUUUUACGGUGACGCUAGAUAGUAUACUUCAAAAUAAGGUUUCCGUUUUUAUAACGUAGAAAAAACUAUCCUAACGCAAAACUAAACCCUAACCCUAAUACUCACCCUAACCCCAACCUAACCUAAACCCUAACCUAACCCUAACUUAUUUUAAUUAUUUUAAAAAUUGAUAUAAAAACGGAAACCUUAUUUUGAAGUAUACUAUCUAGCAAUUGCCGAAUUUUUACCGAUACCCGGAUUGUCCACCGAUAACGCAAUAACCUCCGAUUCCAAUUAUAUUCAAUCAAUAUACCAGUAUAGAGUAAUUAGCCAUCUUCCAAAUUUUAAUUACAAAAUAGUAUUUAAUGCACAGGUAUGUUGAAUUCCACUACAGGUUGUGUAUUGUACGCUACAACGAGACUUUUGUCUGCAAGCAGGUGGAAACUAUUACAAAAUUUUAAACUGAGUUUUUUGAAGUAAAAAAUUCUUUAGUAUAUAUCAUGUAAUGAUGUAGUAUAUAUUUUGGCGUAAGCUAUUUAAAGCUAUAUAUGGAUGUAAAGAUAUUCGACACGAGUUCUGGUUUUAUGAUGGCUAUAUAGAG